GCUCAGAUUGAMCSCUGSCGSCAGSCUUAACACAUGCAAGYCGAMCGGUAGCACAGAGGASCUUSCUCCUUGGGUGMCGAGUGGCGGACGGGUGAGUAAUGCUUGGGAAUCUGGCUUAUGGAGGGGGAUAACUACUGGAAACGGUAGCUAAUACCGCGUAAUAUCGRRAGAUUAAAGGGUGGGACCWUUKGGCCACCUGCCAUAAGAUGAGCCCAAGUGGGAUUAGGUAGUUGGUGGGGUAAUGGCCUACCAAGCCGACGAUCUCUAGCUGGUCUGAGAGGAUGRCCAGCCACACUGGAACUGAGACACGGUCCAGACUCCUACGGGAGGCAGCAGUGGGGAAUAUUGCACAAUGGGGGGAACCCUGAUGCAGCCAUGCCGCGUGAAUGAAGAAGGCCUUCGGGUUGUAAAGUUCUUUCGGUGAUGAGGAAGGUGUUUUGUUUAAUAGACAAAGCAAUUGACGUUAGUCACAGAAGAAGCACCGGCUAACUCCGU
rnacentral:rRNA from 1 species